AAGCGGCCUCAAGGAAGCUGUGCGUGGUGUUUAACGUUGAAGUGGGUUCUUCCAGUAAGGAAAUUAAAUCCGUGCCUUAAUUGUUUUGCUUUAAGGAUCUUCACACUCGCAUGCUGAGAAGUAGUGGAAAAGGCGGCCAUUCCUUUAAGCGGAUAUGCUGGCGUAAAUGCAGGGAGUGUUUGAAGAGCGCCAUCUGCCUCAGGAUUUCACUUUCAGUCUACGUUUUUUCCAGUUUACUUCGUUCUUGAGACAUUACGUGAUUGAGAGAUUAUUAAGUUAAAGGAUUUGUAUUAAAGUUUAACAUUUGAAUGUCAGUAAUUCAAUAAAUUAUCCUCCGACGAUUUGAUUUUUUUCAAAUGUUUACCUUUGGAAAAUAGAACUCCAUUGACUAUAUGGGUAUGUUCAAAUAUAUGGAAUUUUAGCAUUUAUUUGUUAUACAAUUGUCCAGAGUUGCAUUUUCUGAGUAAUUCAAAUGAAAAUCGGAGUAAAAUUUUUGCCACUACUUGUAUUAAACAUUUAUUUUAAGUAAUUGAGUAAACUUUUUUUUUCAUUGUGGGGAGAGGGGCUCAUAAGGAUAAUUUCCAUUUACUGGAAUGGAGUAUUUAGAUUGCAAUUUAAGUUAUAUGGUUUAUGUGAAGUUAAAAUGGUAAAGCUCAGCAAGAGCAGUUGAAUAAUACAGAUGGCAAUUCCAACAGUAGGACAGCCUUAAUCUAAGAGGUGUCAUCAAACUGCAUCUGAUGUAAAUGGGUUACCUACUGUAAUUGUGUUAAAUGUGAAUAAAGUGUGCAGCUUGCAUGUAACUGCAAAUAGGAUCUAUGGUAACAACUGGCAAUUUAGUGUUGUAGCUUGAAAUAUUUGGUUUUAGAUCUCAAGUUUGUACCAUAGUUAUGGUGGAGGGAAUAAACAAAUCCUAUUUCAGUUAA